UAGGUGGCAAGCGUUGUCCGGAUUUACUGGGUGUAAAGGGCGCGUAGGCGGGUUUGCAAGUCAGAUGUGAAAUACCGGGGCUCAACUCCGGAACUGCAUCUGAAACUGUGAAUCUUGAGUACUGGAGAGGAAAGUGGAAUUCCUAGUGUAGCGGUGAAAUGCGUAGAUAUUAGGAGGAACACCGGUGGCGAAGGCGGCUUUCUGGACAGAAACUGACGCUGAGGCGCGAAAGCGUGGGGAGCAAA
rnacentral:rRNA from 1 species